rnacentral:lncRNA from 1 species
UUUUGUGUGAAUUUUACAGAGCUGUGAGUUUCUUUGCCUGAUACUACUAUACAACUUACGUAAAAAAUGAUUUCAACUGAAGCCAAUUUCUGAUUUCAAUUGCUCCCUUACAAAAAAAUGUAUUGUGUGCCUUCUCCACACAUUAGGGCAACCAUGUUCAGGUUUCUUCCCAGAUAAGAAAUCAGUGUGGUGUUUCCUUGGUGGCUUUUUGAAGGGAUUUUUUGCUGUAUAAUUGCCAAGAUAAUUAGCUACAAGCUCCAGGUAAUAUCUCUUAGAAAUGGAAGCUCCUUCCCACUGUAAGAAUUAUGUUCCUCUUCAGUAGUGUUGACAAGACAGAGAGCCGUUUGGGAUGUUAUGACUCUGAAAUGGCUAUCUGUUGGUGAUCCAUGCUUCAAAAUGGUAUGAUUCAGUUCUAGUCAGCUGACAUUUAUGGCUUUUAGGAUCUAGACAGGGGCUUUCAAUUCAGCUCAAUCAGGUGUCUGCAAAUAAGCAUCUGUUAUGUUUAAGUUUCCUGAUGUCUUUCUUUCAAACCUGUUAUCUCCCCUAAAUCAAAUGCUUAGUUCAGUAGAGCCUAAAAUAAUAACAACUCCAAAUGGUCCCAAUGGAAUGCUUUACAGAAAACUGUUUUAAGAAGGCACAGAGAAAGUGCAUGGGGGAUGUAGAAUUGAAAUGGCCUAAUUUCUCUCAAGCCCUCUAAGCUCUCAUUAAUAAAGAGGGUAAUAACCCAGCCUAGAUUACAGUGUAUUCAUGGGUUCUUUCCUAGGUCAGCUCAGUUAAAGCAUUGUAAUAACCAGGCUGUAGAACUUCCUGUGAGAUGGCAC